rnacentral:rRNA from 1 species
GUCUAUGGCCAUGCCACCCUGAACAAGCCGCAUGUCUAAUCUUGGAAGCUAAGCAGGGUCAGGCCUGGUUAGUAUUUGGAUGGGAGACCACCUAGGAAGACCAGGUGCUGUGGGCA